rnacentral:rRNA from 1 species
CGGGUAGCCGGCCUGAGAGGGCGACCGGCCACACUGGGACUGAGACACGGCCCAGACUCCUGCGGGAGGCAGCAGUGGGGAAUAUUGCACAAUGGGCGAAAGCCUGAUGCAGCGACGCCGCGUGGGGGAUGACGGCCUUCGGGUUGUAAACCUCUUUUACCACCAACGCAGGCUCCGGGUUCUCUCGGGGUUGACGGUAGGUGGGGAAUAAGGACCGGCUAACUACGUGCCAGCAGCCGCGGUAAUACGUAGGGUCCGAGCGUUGUCCGGAAUUAUUGGGCGUAAAGAGCUCGUAGGCGGCAUGUCGCGUCUGCUGUGAAAGACCGGGGCUUAACUCCGGUUCUGCAGUGGAUACGGGCAUGCUAGAGGUAGGUAGGGGAAACUGGAAUUCCUGGUGUAGCGGUGAAAUGCGCAGAUAUCAGGAGGAACACCGGUGGCGAAGGCGGGUUUCUGGGCCUUACCUGACGCUGAGGAGCGAAAGCAUGGGGAGCGAACAGGAUUAGAUACCCUGGUAGUCCAUGCCGUAAACGUUGGGCGCUAGGUGUGGGGACUUUCCACGGUUUCCGCGCCGUAGCUAACGCAUUAAGCGCCCCGCCUGGGGA